GUGGGUAUCGUAUAACGGUUAGUAUAUUAGUUUUCCAAACUGGUGGUGCGAGUUCAAUUCUCGCUAUCCACU
rnacentral:tRNA from 1 species